rnacentral:rRNA from 1 species
UACGAAGGGGGCUAGCGUUGCUCGGAAUCACUGGGCGUAAAGGGUGCGUAGGCGGUUUGGUAAGUCUUAUGAUCGAAAUCUAUGGGCUCAACUCAUAGUCUGCAUGAGAAACUGCCGGGCUUGAGUGUGGGAGAGGUGAGUGGAAUUUCCGGUGUAGCGGUGAAAUGCGUAGAUAUCGGAAAGGAACACCUGUGGCGGAAAGCGGCUCACUGGACCACAACGUGACGCUGACGUGCACGAAAGCUAGGGGAGCAAACAGG